GACGAAGGUGGCGAGCGUUGUUCGGAAUCACUGGGCAUAAAGCGCACGUAGGCGGCGACGUAAGUUGGGUGUGAAAUCCCUCGGCCCAACCGAGGAACUGCGCCCAGUACUGCGUUGCUUGAGGAUCCAAGGGGUGCAUGGAAUUCCCGGUGGAGCGGUGAAAUGCGUUGAUAUCGGGAGGAACUCCGGCGGCGAAAGCGGUGCACUGGUGGAUUUCUGACGCUGAGGUGCGAAAGCCAGGGGGAGCAAACGGGG
rnacentral:rRNA from 1 species